UCUUUUCAGCAUCCUAACAAAAAUUUAGCAACGCCAAAAUUUGUUAGGGUUUUGCCAUAAAGCGACCCUAUUUUCAAUUAAAAGAUUAUCGGUGAAGUGAAAGUUAUGCUAUUCUGACGAAAAAACUGCACGAGACUUCAAAACCUGGUCAAGAUCAAAGAUCAAAGAGGAAGGCAGCAGGAGGGUGGUGCAAACAUGUAAACUUUCAUAUAUGUGAAUCGAUUUUGCACAGGGUAUUUGUACAUGUGCUUGUCUGGUCCAGCUUGACUAACAUUCCAAUAUGGCUCAUGCAAGAUCAGACUCACCCCUGGGAAGUAAUGCAAGGGGAUCACCAAUAUCUUCACACAGAAUGUCAGGCUCUGUGAAAAAG